rnacentral:rRNA from 1 species
AUUGAACGCUGGCGGCAGGCCUAACACAUGCAAGUCGAGCGAGUGGCGGACGGGUGAGUAAUGUAUGGGAAACUGCCCGAUGGAGGGGGAUAACUACUGGAAACGGUGGCUAAUACCGCAUACUAUCGGAUGAACCCAUAUGGGAUUAGCUAGUAGGUGGGGUAAAGGCUCACCUAGGCGACGAUCUCUAGCUGGUCUGAGAGGAUGAUCGGCCACACGGGGACUGAGACACGGCCCAGACUCCUACGGGAGGCAGCAGUGGGGAAUAUUGGACAAUGGGGGCAAGCCUGAUUCAGCCAUGCCGCGUGUAUGAAGAAGGCCUUAGGGUUGUAAAGUACUUUCAGCGGGGAGGCGUUACCCGCAGAAGAAGCACCGGCUAACUCCGUGCCAGCCGCCGCGGUAAUAC